rnacentral:rRNA from 1 species
GACGUAGGAUGCAAGCGUUGUCCGGAUUUAUUGGGCGUAAAGAGUUCGUAGGCUGUUUGUUAAGUCUGAUGUUAAAGACUGGGGCUCAACCUCGGAAAUGCAUUGGAUACUGGCAGACUGGAGUGCAGUAGAGGCUAGUGGAAUUCCCAGUGUAGCGGUGAAAUGCGUAGAUAUUGGGAAGAACACCGGUGGCGUAGGCGACUAGCUGGGCUGUAACUGACGCUGAGGAACGAAAGCCAGGGGAGCGAAU